CCUACGGGAGGCUGCAGUGGGGAAUAUUGCACAAUGGGGGAAACCCUGAUGCAGCGACGCCGCGUGAGUGAAGAAGUAAUUCGUUAUGUAAAGCUCUAUCAGCAGGGAAGUAAAUGACGGUACCUGAGUAAGUAGCCAUGGCUAACUACGUGCCAGCAGCCGCGGUAACACGGAGGGGGCCAGCGUUAUCCGGAUUUACUGGGUGUAAAGGGAGCGUAGACGGCAGUGCAAGUCUGGAGUGAAAGGCCGGGGCUCAACCCGCGGACUGCUCUGGAAACUGGACGGCUGGAGUGCAGGGGAGGUAAGUGGAAUUCCUAGUGUAGCGGUGAAAUGCGUAGAUAUUAGGAAGAACACCGGUGGCGAAGGCAGCUUGCUGGACUGUAACUGACGUUGAGGCUCGAAAGCGUGGGGAGCGAACAGGAUUAGAUACCCUAGUAGUC
rnacentral:rRNA from 1 species